AGUCCCAGGCCCCAGGGCGAAGGCGGCUAGGGGAAAUGGGGCUCAGGGAUUGCUAAGCAAACGCAUCACUGGUGGUCUCCAGCGCCUGCGGAGUAUCUUUUGCUGCCUCUUAUGUAUUGUAGGCAGUGCCUGAUGGCUGAGAAGAAUCGCGGAGGACUAGAAAAGGUUUGAGUCUGAAAUUAUCUGCCACAGAGAGUUAGAGCUCAGAAAUAAGUUAUUGUGAAACAGUUCAACUUCCAUGUUAACGACAACGACAAUAACAACAACACGCUUAUUAAUUCCUAGCUGGAGCAUCAAGCUUAUGAAGAUUUCCAAGUAAGACUUUAUUGUUGACCCUUGUUGAAGAGAACUCUACUUGGCUUCGUUCCUGGCUUUCCUAAAUUGUUCACAUACAAGAUAAACUACCAUCAUUCAGACUUACAGAAGUGAGAAGACAAGCUGAACCAAAUGUAAAAUGG
rnacentral:antisense_RNA from 1 species